GACAGAGGCCUCAAGCGUUAGGCGGAAUCACUGGGCUUAAAGCGUGUGUAGGCGGAUCGUUAAGUGUCUUGUGAAAUCCCACGGCUCACCGUGGAACUGCUGGGCAUACUGGCGAUCUUGGGCCAACUAGGGGCAACUGGAACAAGCGGUGGAGCGGUGAAAUGCGUAGAUAUCGCUUGGAACGCCAAAGGUGAAAACAGGUUGCUGGGGUUGUGCCGACGCUGAGACACGAAAGCCAGGGGAGCAAACGGG
rnacentral:rRNA from 1 species